CGCGAUGUUCGCCCAGGGGCACGGCAGUAUCGUGAACUGCGCCUCGGUGCUCGCAUCGUCGGGGCGCCCGGGCGCAUCGGCCUAUUGCGCC
rnacentral:tRNA from 1 species